UAUUUUUCUUUGAAGACACUUGGUAGGAUCUUGCGCCAAGUACAGGCAACCGGCUGUACGAGCAACUGCCGACCGAGACUCUACUCGAAGCAACUCUUGUACUUGUUUAUCGAAUCAGAUAUCUUGCGAUCCACUAAGUAUAAGAAAAAGUUAUUGAUAUAUUCAUUAUAGGAAUUGAGGAUUCUGAAUCGAUUGCCACCAAAAUCAAUCGAGUUGGUGUACAAGAUUAGGGCGCACUUAGAGCAAGAUCAUUUUAUUUCAGUUUCGUUCUCUUUUUCACGUUACAUUUUUACACGGCGGAUGGCGCUAGUUGCUUGGUCUUGUUUAUCUUUUUAGAUGAUGGAUGAGGCUGGCAAUUCACCAAUGCACAAUGCAAACAUAUUUUGUCCGUCAAGCUAUCGUUCACACCGAAUUUUCAGAUAAUAUAAAGCUAUCUUCACAUCAGUAUGAAAUUAUUAAUUAAGCCUUAGUCCUCGCGAAAAACAGAACUCCACCAUUUGUAUGCAGUGCGUGUUUAUAUGUACUUCGACGUAGUUUACCGUAUUUUAUAUAACGGAAUUGCUGUUCCAGGGUGUCCAAGUGUUCCUCUCCGUAAUUCCUUGAAUCUAGUGUAACGCGACAAUUGUAUUUGCGCGCCGAAAUUAAGUCUAGAUGCCAGCGCCCUCGUGCCCUCCCACUUAUCACAAAUUUUACUAACUUCACAAAGGGAAGAGUCUACGUCUUCCCAUUUGCUUGUAAGCUGGGAGCACGGAAAUAACAGGUUUAUGGGCCAUCGGCCGAUUGCAAAACACCUAAUCAUUUGGCGGAUUGGAUUUUGCUACACCAAUAUCCCACUGAGGGGCACCAGGCGCAACCCAGGCGAAUCUCCCCGGCUACAUCUGGUCCAAUACGAUCACGCACUUACCACACUGUCACUACGAUUGUCCACGUUCGUAUAAUAAUACAUUUUGCGUGAGUGCGUUAGCGAGCGUUUGCGAUUUUGUUAAAAAGGCGUUUACCCGUGUCUUGCUACUCUUAUUUUGAUACGCAUUAACUCGAUUGCGGAUUAUCGCUUGGACCGAACGAAGGUUUUAUUAUCUUUAUAUUGUAUCGUUUUCUCUUUAUUGUUUAAAUAAAAUAAGAAUUAUAUUA